GGAAGGUGUCCCGGGCUCCAGGGGCUGGGUUACUCUCCUGGCCUGGAUGCUGGCUCCUCCUCGACUACACCCAGGCGCGGCAGCUGCAGGACGCUGGAGGAGGAGGAGGGAGGGGCGAGCCCCACGCGGAAGUCAGGUAGGAGCACCCGCCGCUGGCAGCCACUCUCCUGGCCGCCAAACCCCAGCCGGAACUCCGGCCACAGCCAGCAUGCAGGGCAAAGAGAGCCUCCGGAUCCUGGUGGAGCCCGAAGGGGACAGCUUCCCGCUGAUGGAGAUCAGCACCUGUGAGACCGAGGCCUCCGAGCAGUGGGACUAUGUCCUCGUGGCCCAACGUCACACCCAGAGAGACCCCCGGCAGGCGCGGCAGCAACAGUUCCUGGAGGAGCUCAGGAGAAAGGGCUUCCACAUUAAGGUGAUCCGGGACCAGAAACAGGUCUUCUUUGGGAUCCGUGCUGACAACAGCGUCUUUGGCCUGUACCGCACUCUCCUCCUGGAGCCUGAGGGGCCUGCGCCCCACGCUGAGCUGGCCGCGCCGACCACCAUCCCGGUCACCACGAGUCUCAGAAUCCGAAUCGUGAACUUCGUUGUCAUGAACAACAAGACCUCGGCUGGUGAGACCUUCGAAGAUCUGAUGAAGGACGGGGUCUUCGAGGCCAGGUUCCCCCUGCACAAGGGGGAGGGACACCUGAAGAAGACGUGGGCGCGGUGGAGACACAUGUUCCGGGAGCAGCCAGUUGAUGAAAUCAGGAACUACUUUGGGGAAAAGGUGGCCCUGUACUUCGUCUGGCUGGGCUGGUACACCUACAUGCUGGUGCCGGCCGCCCUGACGGGCCUCUUAGUCUUUCUGAGCGGAUUCUCGCUGUUUGAGACCAGCCAGAUCAGCAAGGAGAUCUGUGAGGCCCACGACAUCCUCAUGUGUCCCCUUGGCGACCACAGCCGCAGGUACCAGCGGCUCUCGGAAACCUGCACUUUUGCCAAGCUCACCCACCUCUUUGACAAUGAUGGCACGGUGGUGUUCGCCAUCUUCAUGGCUCUCUGGGCCACGGUGUUCCUGGAGAUCUGGAAGCGGCAGCGCGCCCGCGUGGUCCUGCACUGGGACCUGUACGUGUGGGACGAGGAACAGGAGGAAAUGGCACUUCAGCUCAUUAACUGCCCCGACUACAAGCUCCGGCCAUACCAGCACUCCUACCUACGCAGCACCGUCAUCCUCGUCCUGACCCUGCUCAUGAUCUGCCUCAUGAUCGGCAUGGCCCACGUCCUGGUGGUCUACCGCGUCCUGGCCUCCGCGCUCUUCAGCAGCUCGGCCGUGCCCUUCCUGGAGGAGCGGGUGACCACGGCCGUGGUGGUGACCGGGGCUCUGGUGCACUAUGUGACCAUCGUCAUCAUGACCAAGAUCAACAGGCGCGUGGCCCUGAAGCUUUGUGACUUCGAGAUGCCCAGGACCUUCUCGGAGCGAGAGAGCAGGUUCACCAUCCGCUUCUUCACGCUGCAGUUCUUCACCCAUUUCUCGUCUCUCAUCUACAUCGCCUUCAUCCUGGGCAGGAUCAACGGCCACCCCGGGAAGUCCACGCGCCUGGCGGGCUUGUGGAAGCUGGAAGAGUGCCACGCCAGCGGCUGCAUGAUGGACCUCUUCGUGCAGAUGGCCAUCAUCAUGGGCCUGAAGCAGACGCUCAGCAACUGCGUCGAGUACCUGGUCCCGUGGGUGACCCACAAGUGCCGCUCUCUGCGGGCCUCCGAGUCCGGGCACCUGCCCCGGGACCCCGAGCUCAGGGACUGGCGGCGCAACUACCUUCUGAACCCGGUCAACACCUUCAGCCUGUUCGACGAGUUCAUGGAGAUGAUGAUCCAGUACGGCUUCACCACCAUCUUCGUGGCUGCCUUCCCGCUGGCGCCGCUGCUCGCGCUCUUCAGCAACCUCGUGGAGAUCCGCCUGGACGCCAUCAAGAUGGUCUGGUUGCAGCGGCGCCUGGUGCCGCGCAAGGCCAAGGACAUCGGGACCUGGCUGCAGGUGCUGGAGACCAUCGGUGUGCUGGCGGUCAUUGCCAAUGGGAUGGUCAUUGCCUUCACAUCUGAGUUCAUCCCCCGAGUGGUCUACAAGUACCGCUAUAGCCCAUGCCUGAAAGAAGGCAACUCUACCGUCGAGCUAGAAGCACUCUGGGGCCUGAAGGGGCCGCCCUAGAAGCCCACCCCACCCCACACUCCUCUCCCGUCUCCCCAGCUGCCUCAAGGGCUACGUCAACCACAGCCUGUCCGUCUUCCACACCAAGGACUUCCAGGACCCUGAUGGGAUUGAGGGCUCAGAAAACGUGACUCUGUGCAGAUACAGGGACUACCGCAAUCCCCCCGAUUACAACUUCUCCGAGAAGUUCUGGUUCCUCCUGGCCAUCCGCCUGGCCUUCGUCAUCCUCUUUGAGCACGUGGCCUUGUGCAUCAAGCUCAUUGCUGCCUGGUUCGUGCCCGACAUCCCUCAGUCGGUGAAGAACAAGGUUCUGGAGGUGAAGUACCAGAGGCUGCGUGAGAAGAUGUGGCAUGGAAGGCAGAGGCUGGGCGGGGUGGGGGCAGGCUCUCGGCCCCCGAUGCCUGCCCAUCCCACCCCAGCAUCCAUCUUCAGUGCCAGGAGCACAGACGUGUAGGGCCAGAGCCCGUCCAGAGGCCACCAGGAGCUGACAGUGCCACCACCAGCACCUCCCACAAGCCCACCGCUGUGCGUGUUGAGGGGUGCCGUGAGAAGUCUGUGCCCACGUGGGGCUGCAGGAGUCCCCUGUAUGUUCAGGGCUGUGAGCUGCCACCCUAUUCUGCCUGCUUCGUCUUUGUGGGGGCUCUCAGGCUUGGCACAGCCCUGACUUGAACUCUGGGUGACCCCGGGCACCCACAGAACUGGGAGUGAGGGCUCCUCAGGCAGCCACAAGGCAGGAAAACUGGCACAAGUUUCCUGGGCCUCCCUCUGACUUCUGGGCGCCAGAUCCUGCCGUGCCCCCAUCCUGGCUGUUGGGGGUGUCCUGAGCCCACCUCGCUGGCCUGUUCCCUUCAGCCAGCCCCAGUUUCUGUAAUAAAAUUAAACCUGUC